UGUGCAUGCCUGCUGGACAUGCACAGAAGCCAGAUGAGAGGAUCAUAGCUGCUGGAACUGAAGCUAUAGGAUUGAAGAAGGUAUGGCUCAGGCUUGUUACCAAGGAAAAGAGCCCCAUGAGACCAUCCAGUUAAACUUACUGGCUGCCGAGAGUGCUGUAGUAAGUCUGGAAUGGAGGCAGAAAGACAGAGAAACAAUGCUAACCAUCCAGCAUUACAUGCAGAGAAGAUGGGUUUCCUGGUGUGCUCCUUGUGAAUAAACAGCUCCGGGUGUGUGACAGCCAUCAGUUCUAUUUGUCUUUAAUACGGUCAUCCUUAGACAGCAUCUGGAUGGAAUGGAAACUGCCUUCUAGGUAUUGGAGUCUAGAUUCGAGGUCAUGAUUUGCUGAUUUUGAGUCCUCAGCAAUCAACCGUAUGGACCUAUCUAAUCUGUCAGCACUGUACUGUAAAUUAUCUUCCAAACAUUUGAAUCUAGACUCAAAUUUGUGAUCUGCUACCUUAGAUGCUUCAAUAAUUGAUUGAAUGGCAUUGUCCAAUUCUUCAACCCUAUCCUGGGUAUUUUGCACCUUUGCAUCUAGUUUCUGG
rnacentral:lncRNA from 1 species